rnacentral:rRNA from 1 species
UACGGAGGGUGCUAGCGUUGUUCGGAAUUACUGGGCGUAAAGGGCGCGUAGGCGGCCGUUUGCGUCGGAUGUGAAAGCCCGGGGCUCAACUCCGGAAUUGCCUUUAAGACUGCAUCGCUAGAAUUGUGGAGAGGUAAGUGGAAUUCCGAGUGUAGAGGUGAAAUUCGUAGAUAUUCGGAAGAACACCAGUGGCGAAGGCGACUUACUGGACACAUAUUGACGCUGAGGUGCGAAAGCGUGGGGAGCAAACAGG